GCAAGUCGAGGGGUAACAGGGAUUGCUUGCAAUCCGCUGACGACCGGCGCACGGGUGCGUAACGCGUAUACAAUCUGCCUUGUACUAGGGGAUAGCCUUUGGAAACGAAGAUUAAUACCCUAUAGUAAGUGGCGAUGGCAUCAUCAUCACUUUAAAGGUUACGGUACAAGAUGAGUAUGCGUCCUAUUAGUUUGUUGGUAAGGUAACGGCUUACCAAGACUACGAUAGGUAGGGGCCCUGAGAGGGGGAUC
rnacentral:rRNA from 1 species